UUGUGGACCUGACAGGGCUCUAACUGC
rnacentral:piRNA from 1 species